rnacentral:lncRNA from 7 species
GAAUCACCUGAAACAGCACCACCACGGAAACAAGACCUAUGGCAAGUGAGAAUAAAAUCUCUAAUGAAGCAGGACUUGUGUAUCUCAGUGGUGCUGCAUGAAUUUGUAAGUUAAAACAAUAAACUGGAAGAAAUGAAUGAAUUUGGAACCAGAAGCAAGAAAAUACUCUGCAUAAUGUCUGUGCAGUGUGAGAAAAGAUUUUAAAAAAUCUGUUUUGCAGAAGCCUGACAUUAUUUUCCCAUUUCUUGGAAAACUCUUAAUAUUUUAUAAUGACUACAGGAUAUGAUGAGCAGAAUGGGAAACUUCAAAAAUACAAGGGUUUAAAAUGGGCUUUUGGAACCUUGAAACUCAAGUUGGAACCUCUUUUGUGGGAACUUACAUAAAGAAAAUGAAAGAAAGCACUCAGUUCUACAAAUAAAUCAAUCUUGGAAGGUCAACUUCGUGCCCCUACUUCAGGGGGCUAGCAGAGUAUGCAACGCUGUGUUGCAUCAACAAAGAUGAAAGAAACACUCCACAUGAAACCUGCGGUUCUCAGAAGCAUGUUGGUCCAAGUGUUUGCACAGUGCUUGGACAUCAUAGUGAGAGAUACUUACACAGAGUAGACAAGCAAUUAAAUAUGCUCUGGAAUUUUAACGAGCAGGAGUCCACACAGUGUGAGUUUAAGAGUCUGAGGGAAGUAAUUUUAAAUUUCUGGACUAAUAUUUGCCU